rnacentral:rRNA from 1 species
CUAGCGUUGUUCGGAAUUACUGGGCGUAAAGGGCGCGUAGGCGGCUUCGCUAGUUGGGCGUGAAAUGCCUGGGCUUAACCCAGGAAUUGCGCCCAAUACUUCGAGGCUCGAGUGUGGGAGAGGAUAGUGGAAUUCCCAGUGUAGAGGUGAAAUUCGUAGAUAUUGGGAAGAACACCAGCGGCGAAGGCGGCUAUCUGGACCACAACUGACGCUGAGGCGCGAAAGCGUGGGGAGCAAACAGG